ACUUUUUUGUGCACACUUGAAAAUGUGUUGACUUCCUGAUUUUAAUUGACCAUCUUCCCAUGAUCCAAUUGAGCUGAAAUUUAAUAUGCAUGCUAUGUUAUGGAUUGUGAUUGGGUAUGAAUUAUUUCAUGAUUUUUGGAAUUGUUUAUGUUUGGGUUUGAGCUUGGUCUUGCUGUUGACCUUUUGUGUGCUCCCUUUU
rnacentral:lncRNA from 1 species